rnacentral:rRNA from 1 species
UCCAGACUCCUACGGGAGGCAGCAGUGAGGAAUAUUGGUCAAUGGGCUUACGCCUGAACCAGCCAAGUCGCGUGAGGGAAGACUGCCCUAUGGGUUGUAAACCUCUUUUGUCAGGGAGCAAAGGCGUCCACGUGUGGACGAGAGGAGAGUACCUGAAGAAAAAGCAUCGGCUAACUCCGUGCCAGCAGCCGCGGUAAUACGGAGGAUGCGAGCGUUAUCCGGAUUUAUUGGGUUUAAAGGGAGCGUAGAUGGGUUGUUAAGUCAGUUGUGAAAGUUUGCGGCUCAACCGUAAAAUUGCAAUUGAUACUGGCAGCCUUGAGUACAGUUGAGGUAGGCGGAAUUCGUGGUGUAGCGGUGAAAUGCUUAGAUAUCACGAAGAACUCCGAUUGUGAAGGCAGCUUACUAAACUGCCACUGACAUUGAUGCUCGAAAGUGUGGGUAUCAAACAGGAUUAGAUACCCCUGUAGG